GUGGGGAAUAUUGCACAAUGGGCGAAAGCCUGAUGCAGCAACGCCGCGUGAGUGAUGAAGGCCUUUGGGUCGUAAAACUCUGUCCUUGGGGAAGAAAAAAAUGACGGUACCCUUGGAGGAAGCCCCGGCUAACUACGUGCCAGCAGCCGCGGUAAUACGUAGGGGGCAAGCGUUAUCCGGAAUUAUUGGGCGUAAAGAGUGCGUAGGUGGUUUUGUAAGCGUAGGGUGAAAGGCAGUAGCUCAACUAUUGUUAGCCCUGCGAACUGUGAGACUUGAGUGCAGGAGAGGAAAGUGGAAUUCCUAGUGUAGCGGUGAAAUGCGUAGAUAUUAGGAGGAACACCAGUGGCGAAGGCGACUUUCUGGACUGUAACUGACACUGAGGCACGAAAGCGUGGGUAGCAAACAGGAUUAGAUACCCUGGUAGUCC
rnacentral:rRNA from 1 species